GCUUAUUUCACUAAGCAUAAUAUCCUGAAGGUUCAUCCAUUAUGUAGCACGUGAUGGGAUUUCUCUCCUUUUUAAGGCUGAAUAAUAUCAUACAACAUCUUAGCAGAACCAUCAAAGUCUAAUGGAUGUAUGGCUCACGAUUCCUCAUCUCCACAUGUAAUAUAUCCACCUGAUAGGCCUUUCCUUAAUAGUGAUCUGCGACGUUCCCCAAAUAAGCCUACAUUUGCCUAUCCAGAAAGCAACAGCAGAGGCAUCAUCCUCCACCUGAUCAUCAAGACUAUGUUACUUUGAGUCAUCUAGGACUGCUCUGUCACUUCCAGCAUCACUCAGGAACCAAGACUUGUGUUUUGCUUCUGAAAUAUCCCCCAAAC